UUACAAGGUUUGAGGGUCUCUGCUAGAAUCAUGUGGACCCCAGUGUAACAAAUCUAUGGAAAGAGAGAAAAUCUCAGCUCAAGGGUCAACAUGUCUUUAUUCCAAGAAAGAGUGUACAUAUGCCAGAAUCAUAUGGACCGCAGACUGGCCCUGGUGAUUCCGUUAAGAAAAAAGAGGAAAAAUCAGUGCUUGUCU